UACGUAGGGUGCAAGCGUUGUCCGGAAUUAUUGGGCGUAAAGAGCUCGUAGGCGGUCUGUCGCGUCGGCUGUGAAAACCCGGGGCUCAACCCCGGGCUUGCGGUCGAUACGAGCAGGCUGGAGUUCGGUAGGGGAGACUGGAAUUCCUGGUGUAGCGGUGAAAUGCGCAGAGUAUCAGGAGGAACACCGGUGGCGAAGGCGGGUCUCUGGGCCGAUACUGACGCUGAGGAGCGAAAGCGUGGGGAGCGAACAGG
rnacentral:rRNA from 1 species